AGUGAACGCUGGCGGUAGGCCUAACACAUGCAAGUCGAACGGCAGCACAGUAAGAGCUUGCUCUUACGGGUGGCGAGUGGCGGACGGGUGAGGAAUACAUCGGAAUCUACUUUUUCGUGGGGGAUAACGUAGGGAAACUUACGCUAAUACCGCAUACGACCUACGGGUGAAAGCAGGGGAUCUUCGGACCUUGCGCGAUUGACUGAGCCGAUGUCGGAUUGGCUAGUUGGCGGGGUAAAGGCCCACCAAGGCGACGAUCCGUAGCUGGUCUGAGAGGAUGAUCAGCCACACUGGAACUGAGAGACGGUCCAGACUCCUACGGGAGGCAGCAGUGGGGAAUAUUGGACAAUGGGCGCAAGCCUGAUCCAGCCAUACCGCGUGGGUGAAGAAGGCCUUCGGGUUGUAAAGCCCUUUUGUUGGGAAGAAAAGCAGCAGGUUAAUACCCCGCUGUUCUGACGGUACCCAAAGAAUAAGCACCGGCUAACUUCGUG
rnacentral:rRNA from 1 species